UACGUAGGGUGCAAGCGUUAAUCGGAAUUACUGGGCGUAAAGCGUGCGCAGGCGGUUUUGUAAGACUGUCGUGAAAUCCCCGGGCUUAACCUGGGAAUGGCGAUGGUGACUGCAAGGCUAGAGUUUGGCAGAGGGGGUAGAAUUCCACGUGUAGCAGUGAAAUGCGUAGAUAUGUGGAGGAACACCGAUGGCGAAGGCAGCCCCCUGGGUCAAAACUGACGCUCAUGCACGAAAGCGUGGGGAGCAAACAGG
rnacentral:rRNA from 1 species